rnacentral:rRNA from 1 species
GGGUGCGAUCAUACCAGCACUAAUGCACCGGAUCCCAUCAGAACUCCGCAGUUAAGCGUGCUUGGGCGAGAGUAGUACUAGGAUGGGUGACCUCUUGGGAAGCCCUCGUGUUGCACCCC